GACAGAGGGUGCAAACGUUGUUCGGAAUUACUGGGCGUAAAGCGCGUGUAGGCGGCCCUGCAAGUCGGAUGUGAAAGCCCUGGGCUUAACCUAGGAAGUGCAUUCGAAACUGCAGGGCUUGAGUUCUGGAGAGGAAGGCGGAAUUCUCGGUGUAGAGGUGAAAUUCGUAGAUAUCGAGAGGAACACCGGUGGCGAAGGCGGCCUUCUGGACAGUGACUGACGCUGAGACGCGAAAGCGUGGGGAGCAAAC
rnacentral:rRNA from 1 species